ACUGGGCGUUGUGGCGUGCGCCUGUAAUCCAGUUACUUGGAAGUCGGGGUUGGUGGAUCGUUUGAGAGCGGGAGUCCUGUAUGUCGUCGCUCUAUGGCGAUCGGGCGUCCAUGCUAAGCUCGGCAUCGAUAUGGUUGAUUGGUCGGAGGACUGGCCAACCAGGUCGUCUAAGGAGGGACGUACUGGCCCAGGGCGGAAACGCAGCAGGCAAAAGUCCCCGUGUGGAGCAGUAGUGGGAUAGCGCCUGUGAAUAGGCGGCGGCUUGCAGCCCGUUCAACAUAGUGAGACCCAAUCCUUU
rnacentral:SRP_RNA from 15 species